GACACCACUAACAAAGAUAUACCUUAGUUGAGGUAAUCCCCAAAUAUCAAGGGGUUCACAUGAUGAUGAAUAACCAUAAACUUCUAGUUUCUGUAGAUUCCGCAACAUGAACAAAGGCUGACAAUGAAUAUUCAACUCAGAACGAAUACAUAAUUACCUUCUC